UACGUAGGGUGCGAGCGUUGUCCGGAAUUAUUGGGCGUAAAGGGCUCGUAGGCGGUUUGUCGCGUCGGGAGUGAAAAUCCAGGGCUUAACUCUGGACUGGCUUCCGAUACGGGCAGACUAGAGGUAUGCAGGGGAGAAUGGAAUUCCUGGUGUAGCGGUGAAAUGCGCAGAUAUCAGGAGGAACACCGGUGGCGAAGGCGGUUCUCUGGGCAUUACCUGACGCUGAGGAGCGAAAGUGUGGGGAGCGAACAGG
rnacentral:rRNA from 1 species